UGGGGAAUAUUGGACAAUGGGCGAAAGCCUGAUCCAGCCAUGCCGCGUGUGUGAAGAAGGCCUUUUGGUUGUAAAGCACUUUAAGCGAGGAGGAGGCUACUAGUACUAAUACUACUGGAUAGUGGACGUUACUCGCAGAAUAAGCACCGGCUAACUCUGUGCCAGCAGCCGCGGUAAUACAGAGGGUGCGAGCGUUAAUCGGAUUUACUGGGCGUAAAGCGUGCGUAGGCGGCUGAUUAAGUCGGAUGUGAAAUCCCUGAGCUUAACUUAGGAAUUGCAUUCGAUACUGGUCAGCUAGAGUAUGGGAGAGGAUGGUAGAAUUCCAGGUGUAGCGGAGAAAUGCGUAGAGAUCUGGAGGAAUACCGAUGGCGAAGGCAGCCAUCUGGCCUAAUACUGACGCUGAGGUACGAAAGCAUGGGGAGCAAACAGG
rnacentral:rRNA from 1 species